GAUGAACGCUGGCGGCGUGCCUAAUACAUGCAAGUCGAGCGAACAGACGAGGAGCUUGCUCCUCUGACGUUAGCGGCGGACGGGUGAGUAACACGUGGAUAACCUACCUAUAAGACUGGGAUAACUUCGGGAAACCGGAGCUAAUACCGGAUAAUAUAUUGAACCGCAUGGUUCAAUAGUGAAAGACGGUUUUGCUGUCACUUAUAGAUGGAUCCGCGCCGCAUUAGCUAGUUGGUAAGGUAACGGCUUACCAAGGCAACGAUGCGUAGCCGACCUGAGAGGGUGACCGCCACAAGUGGAAAGGAGCAAGGGCCAAGACCCAGACGGGAGGAAGCGGAGGGGAUUUUCCGAAAAGGGGAAAAAGCGGGAGGAAGAAAGCCCGGGGGAGGGAGAAGGUUUUGGGGAGAGAAAAACUUUUUUAGAGGGAAAAAAAAAGGGUGAAAUAAUAAAUGCGGUUUAUGAGGGUACAAAAAAAAAAAGCCACGGAAAAAUACGGG
rnacentral:rRNA from 1 species